rnacentral:rRNA from 1 species
UGGGGAAUUUUGGACAAUGGGCGAAAGCCUGAUCCAGCAAUGCCGCGUGUGUGAAGAAGGCCUUCGGGUUGUAAAGCACUUUUGUCCGGAAAGAAAUCCUUGGCCCUAAUACAGUCGGGGAUGACGGUACCGGAAGAAUAAGCACCGGCUAACUACGUGCCAGCAGCCGCGGUAAUACGUAGGGUGCAAGCGUUAAUCGGAAUUACUGGGCGUAAAGCGUGCGCAGGCGGUUUGCUAAGACCGAUGUGAAAUCCCCGGGCUCAACCUGGGAACUGGCAUUGGUGACUGGCAGGCUAGAGUAUGGCAGAGGGGGGUAGAAUUCCACGUGUAGCAGUGAAAUGCGUAGAGAUGUGGAGGAAUACCGAUGGCGAAGGCAGCCCCCUGGGCCAAUACUGACGCUCAUGCACGAAAGCGUGGGGAGCAAACAGGAUUAGAUACCCUGGUAGUCCACGCCCUAAACGAUGUCAACUAGUUGUUGGGGAUUCAUUUUCCUUAGUAACGUAGCUAACGCGUGAAGUUGACCGCCUGGGGAGUACGGUCGCAAGAUUAAAACUCAAAUGAAUUGACGGGGUCAUAGCUGUUUCCU